UUUCUGUCUACGACGGACAUGGAGGGGAAGAGGUCGCCUUGUACUGUGCCAAAUAUCUUCCUGAUAUUAUCAAAGAUCAGAAGGCCUACAAGGAAGGCAAGCUUCAGAAGGCUUUACAAGAUGCCUUCUUGGCUAUCGAUGCCAAGCUGACUACAGAUGAAGUCAUUAAGGAACUGGCGCAGAUUGCAGGGAGACCCACUGAAGAUGAGGAUGAUAAAGAAAAAGUAGCAGAUGAGGAUGAUGGUGAGUGUGGCAUCUGUGUUAGAAGGAAAUGAGCAGUUGAUUAUCAGUUCUGAGAAAUGAUGGCUUCCCAGGGACCUGGGGAAUUGUCCCAUAAAAGGAUAUACAAGAAUCAACUAAGCUGGCUUAUGGGGGCCCACAGAGGCUGAACCAACAAUCAGGGAGCCUGCAUAGGACUGACCUAGGCCCCCGCAUAUAUGUUACAGUUGAGCACCUUGGACUUGUGAGAUUUCUA
rnacentral:lncRNA from 1 species